GACAGAGGUCCCGAGCGUUAGGCGGAAUCACUGGGCUUAAAGCGUGUGUAGGCGGACUUGUAAGUACCUUGUGAAAUCCCACGGCUCAACCGUGGAACUGCUCGGUAUACUGCUUGUCUUGAGCCACUUAGGGGCUACCGGAACAAAUGGUGGAGCGGUGAAAUGCGUAGAUAUCAUUUGGAACGCCAACGGUGAAAACAGGUAGCUGGGGAGUGUGCUGACGCUGAGACACGAAAGCCAGGGGAGCAAACGGG
rnacentral:rRNA from 1 species